GGAUGUGAGGACAUAGAGCCACAACUUCUAUCCCUUUUGAUUGCCAGGGUCGGUUAGGCUGAUCCUGCUGGCAACAUGGUGUCCCUUUUUUCCCUCAGGGUCCUAUGUCUUUCCUGGUGUUUAGUGCUUCUUGCAGGAGGGACAUGCCACUUGACAGAGGAGUGCUAUUCUUCUAUCAGUAUUACAUGAAUAGCUGUGCUCCCCUGCUGGCACUGCCAAACCAGUUCUCAAAAUUGUAUGGAUGUUUUUCAUUUGACUAAGCACAUAAAUGAUUUGAAAUCUCUCAAAUGUACAAAAGAAUGUGCAUGCUACAUUUG
rnacentral:snRNA from 1 species